rnacentral:lncRNA from 1 species
AAAAAAAAAAAAAAGCCAGAUGCAAAAGGAUGAUUAAAGGAGUCUACAUACAUGGAAAGUAGAAUAGUGAUUAGGAGGGGAUGGGUAGAGGCAGGAAUGGAGAGUUAUUGCCCACUAGAUACAAAAUUUAUUUGGAAUGAUGAAAAAGUUCUAACACCAGAGCUGAUGGUUAUACAAUAUUUUGAAUGUACUUAAUACCACUGAAUUGUACACUUAAAAACAGUUGAAAAUAAAUGGGUACAGAGUUUGUCUGGGAUGAUGAAAAAGUUCUGAAGAUAGUGGUGAUGGUUGCAACACAAUUUGAAUAUACUUAAUGUCAUUGAACUGUAUACUUAAAAAUGGCUACAAUGAGGCCAACGUGGUGGCUCACUCCUGUAAUCCCAGUACUUUGGGAGGCCAAGGAGGGCAGAUCACUUGAGCCCAGGAGUUCAAGACCAGCCUGUGCAUCAUAGCAAGAUCCCUGUCUCUACAAAACAAUUUUUAAAAUUAGCUGGGCGUAGUGGUGCAACACCUGUAGUCCCAGCUACUAGGGAGGCUGAGAGAGGAGGAUCAUUUGUGACUGGGAGAUUGAGGCUGCAGCGAGCCGUGAUUGUGCCACUGCACUCCAGCCCGGGUGACAGAGUGAGACCCUGUCUGAAAACUUAACAAAAGGGCUAAAAUCAUAAAUUUUAUGUUGUAUUUUACAAUAAAAAAUUACCCAAAGAAAAAAGUCAUACCCCUUCAACAGAGAAAAGUUUUAGGCUUACACCAGGGUUUCUUAACAGUGGCUGACAUUUUGUGCUGGAUAAUUCUUUGUUGUGAGGAACUGUCCCGUGCAGGGAUGUUUAGCAGCACCCCUGGCCUUGAUGUGGUGACAAGACCACCUCCCCAGGUACUCCAGAAAUUGCAAAAUGUCACAUGGAGGAGGGGGCUACAUUCUUCCCCAGCAGAGAACCACUGGCCUGUACUCACUUGCUGACCCCGAGAACAUCGUUUGAAACUUUGCUCUGUCCCGUCCUUCAGCUUGGCCCACACAGUCUCCCGUGGACAUGGGAAUUUUAUUGGUUUCAUCACAUGCCACAUGGAUGGAUACUGUUCAAAUAAAGUUACCAUGUGAAUGUAGUUUCUCCCAUGUUCAUCCAGUAGAAUGAUAGAAACUUCUGGAGAAGUCACUUCAGCAUGAAGUUUUUUAAAAAUUUUUUUAUUUUUUUGAGAUGGAGUCUCCUCUGUCACCUAGGCUGAAGUGCAGUGGCGCAACCUCGGCUCACUGCAACCUCUGCCUCCUGAGUUCAAGUGAUUCUCAUGUCUCAGCCUCUCGAGUAGCUGGGACUACAGGCGCGCGCCACCACGCCCAGCUAAUUUUUGUGUUUUUGUGGAGACAGGGUUUCACUACGUUGCCCAGGCUGGUCUCAAACUCCUGAGCUCAAGUGAUCUACCUGCCUCGGCCUCCCGAAGUGCUGAGAUUACAGGCAUGAGCCACCGCGCCCGGCCUCUUUCUCCACGUUUUGACUGAGGCCAUCUCCAUGCAUCUUUUCUCUUGACUGGAAAUGUGGUGGAAUCAAAUAAAACAAAUUUGACAAUGGUUUAACAAAAUUGUUUAAUAAAAUUUAUAAAAAUGCAUCUUUGAGAAUACUUUUCUCAGCUUGAAUUGU